UUGCUUUGGCAGCACAUAUAGUAAAACUGGGAAGAUACAGAGAAAAUUAUUUUAGCCUCUAUGCAAGGAUGACAUGAAAAUUUGUGGAAUAUUCCAUAUUUAA